rnacentral:rRNA from 1 species
AGUGAACGCUGGCGGUAGGCCUAACACAUGCAAGUCGAACGGCAGCACAGUAAGAGCUUGCUCUUACGGGUGGCGAGUGGCGGACGGGUGAGGAAUACAUCGGAAUCUACUUUUUCGUGGGGGAUAACGUAGGGAAACUUACGCUAAUACCGCAUACGACCUACGGGUGAAAGCAGGGGAUCUUCGGACCUUGCGCGAUUGAAUGAGCCGAUGUCGGAUUAGCUAGUUGGCGGGGUAAAGGCCCACCAAGGCGACGAUCCGUAGCUGGUCUGAGAGGAUGAUCAGCCACAAUGGGACGGAGCCACGGUCCAGACUCCUACGGGAGGCAGCGGUGGGGAAUAUUGGACAAUGGGCGCAAGCCUGAUCCAGCCAUACCGCGUGGGUGAAGAAGGCCUUCGGGUUGUAAAGCCCUUUUGUUGGGAAAGAAAAGCAGCAGGUUAAUACCCCGCUGUUCUGACGGUACCCAAAGAAUAAGCACCGGCUAACUUCGUG